ACGCACGCUGGCGGCGCGCCUAACACCUGCCAGUCGAACGGAGCUGAGAGAAGCUUGCUUUUCUUAGCUUAGUGGCGAACGGGUGAGUAACGCGUGAGUAACCUGCCCUGGAGUGGGGGACAACAGUUGGAAACGACUGCUAAUACCGCAUAAGCCCACGAUCCGGCAUCGGAUUGAGGGAAAAGGAUUUAUUCGCUUCAGGAUGGACUCGCGUCCAAUUAGCUAGUUGGUGAGGUAACGGCCCACCAAGGCGACGAUUGGUAGCCGGACUGAGAGGUUGAACGGCCACAUUGGGACUGAGACACGGCCCAGACUCCUACGGGAGGCAGCAGUGGGGGAUAUUGCACAAUGGGGGAAACCCUGAUGCAGCGACGCCGCGUGGAGGAAGAAGGUUUUCGGAUUGUAAACUCCUGUCGUUAGGGACGAUAAUGACGGUACCUAACAAGAAAGCACCGGCUAACUACGUG
rnacentral:rRNA from 1 species